CUGGAGGGCCGAGGCGGCGUCUAAAAAUCAUGGAAACGGAUUUGGAGCACCGUGACGCAUAACCGAAGACCUAUAAUUUUCGGAGCUGCGAAGCGGCGCGCGGUUGGUGCGCAAUUGCGAGAUCAGGCCAAAUCGGAUAGCGGGUGCCGCGGGCGACCAAUUGCAAGUGUCGACAACCAAUCGGAGAGCGAAUCAAGGUUCGCACGUGAGCGGUGUGGCGGCGCGAGGCAAGGGCGUAGCUCCGUAGGUAGCGCCCUACCACAGAGACCAGAGAUAGCAGUACCCCGAGUCGACAUAUCCUAGGGGUAUAGAGAUGAAAGAUCAAUGUAUCAAAUUUGUAAUGAAUAAAUGAUGCAAUAAUUCAGAUUGCAUUUGCAUGAAAAAUGAGUUGGAUUUGAGAUGUAAAAAUGUACGAAUGUGAAUGCGUGUAAUAACUUAGGAUGUGUUAUGUUGUUGAUACCUUCUUUAUGCAAUCUCUGCUUGAAUACUGUC